UAAUGAAGACAAUCAAAG
rnacentral:siRNA from 1 species